UACAUGGGGUGCAAACGUUGCUCGGAAUUAUUGGGCGUAAAGCGCACGUAGGCGGUUCGUUAAGUCGGAUGUGAAAGCCCUCGGCUCAACUGAGGAAGUGCACCCGAAACUGGCGAGCUUGAGUACGAAAGAGGAUCGCGGAAUUCCCGGUGUAGAGGUGAAAUUCGUAGAUAUCGGGAGGAACACCGGUGGCGAAGGCGGCGAUCUGGGUCGAUACUGACGCUGAGGUGCGAAGGCAUGGGUAGCGAACAGG
rnacentral:rRNA from 1 species